rnacentral:snRNA from 1 species
GUGCUGAUUUGGCAGCAUAUAUACUAAAAUUGGAACGAUACAGAGAAGAUUUGCAUGGCCCCUGAGCAAGGAUGACACACAAAUUUGUGAAGCAUUCCAUAUUUUU